UCCUACAAACUACCUAUCUCUUUUUUUCUAUUCCAGCUCCAUGGCUGCACCACCACCUCUCCAUCUGUGUUUGUUUAGCGAACUUAAAAUCAAAAUCAAAAUCUUAUCAAAUCCAACGAUGUUAGGGUACCGACCCCAAAUGCAAAAAUGAAGACGCAUAGAUUGAGAGGAUUCGAGAACUCGGGUAUGACUCACUGAGUUGAUAAAAGCUUAAGAAACCUCUGCUACCUCAAUUUUUUUUUACAGAUCUGAAUUUCUUCAAAUUAAUUGAAUUAAGAGGUACCAUUUAUGCAAUUUGUACUAUGUAUUGUUCCUCUUGUGUCAAAUUGAGAGAACGAAUGAAGAGAUAGGUCGUUUUUAAAAUUUGUUGGUGAUGGUAUUGGUUGCGGUUUCUAAUGGUGGUAAUGGUGCUCCUGGAAUUGACGGGGGUGAAAGAAGAGGCCGGUGGUGGUGACAAUUGAAGAAGAUGAACCUGAAUGUUGAGAAUGUAUUGGUGGUGGUGGUUUUGCUUCCUUGCUGGGGUGUGGUGUAUGAUGUUUAGGUGGUGCUGCUGGUUACAACGCAGGUGGUGGUGAAGGAAUAUCGUAGCAGAGAUGGUGGUGAAGAAAUUACAAAGAAAUCGAGAGGAGGAAGAAGGAUAAAGAAAGGAAAAUAAGAAUUAAAUUGAAAUUUUUGGAGCUGGCUGGGAUUCGAACUUAAGCCCUCUAACUCGAGUUUAACCAUUUUAAUUUAUCACCCGUGUUUUUGUUUUUUCAUUUUACAAAAAUGUCCUCGACAUUGUAAUUAUUUACUUCUGUUUAAAGAAGGAAAAAAAUCAAGGAUGGGCAGUGAGGUCCUUUCAUCGUGAACCAAA